rnacentral:rRNA from 1 species
AGCGCGCGCAGGCGGCCUUUUAAGUUGGAUGUGAAAGCCUAUGGCUCAACCAUAGAACUGCAUCCAAAACUAUCAGGCUAGAGUGUGGGAGAGGAAGAUGGAAUUAGUUGUGUAGGGGUAAAAUCCGUAGAGAUAACUAGGAAUACCAAAAGCGAAGGCAAUCUUCUGGAACAUUACUGACGCUGAGGCGCGAAAGCGUGGGGAGCAAACAGGAUUAGAUACCCUGGUAGUCCACGCCCUAAACGAUGAAUGUUAGUCGUCGGGUAGCUAGUCUAUUCGGUGAUGCAGCUAACGCAUUAAACAUUCCGCCUGGGGAGUACGGUCGCAAGAUUAAAACUCAAAGGAAUAGACGGGGACCCGCACAAGUGGUGGAGCAUGUGGUUUAAUUCGAAGAUACGCGAAGAACCUUACCUAGCCUUGACAUAUUUUAGAACACUUUAGAGAUAGAGUGGUGCCUUCGGGAGCUAAUAUACAGGUGCUGCACGGCUGUCGUCAGCUCGUGUCGUGAGAUGUUGGGUUAAGUCCCGCAACGAGCGCAACCCUCGUCACUAGUUACUAACGGUUCGGCCGAGGACUCUAGUGAGACUGCCUUCGCAAGGAGGAGGAAGGUGAGGACGACGUCAAGUCAUCAUGGCCCUUACGGCUAGGGCAACACACGUGCUACAAUGGCCAGGACAAUGAGAAGCGAUACCGCGAGGUGGAGCAAAUCUAUAAACCUGGUCUCAGUUCGGA